ACUGGUUGAUCCUGCCAGUACUAUAUGCUUACAAAGAAGACUAAGCCAUGCACGUGUAAGGUUAAGUAAUUAACUGGCGAACCUGUGAAUGGCUCAUUAAUCAGAUCUAAUCUACCUGAAAGUAAACUUUUAGAAGGAUACCUUUUCUAACUGAGCAGCUAAUACUUGGAUAUGCUGUCCGCCUCUUUGCGAGGUGGGCGGGUGUUUUUUAGAUUCCAGCCAACGCUUCCCGCGAGGGUAGCCUCGGUGAUUCAUAAUAACCGUUCGAACCGCAGUGCCCCUCGGGGCGGCGGGAGUUCAGUCGAAGAUCUGCCCUAUCAGCUUUCGACGGUAGUGUAGUGGACUACCGUGGCGGUGACGGGUAACGGAGAAACAGGGUUCGAAUCCGGAGAGGGAGCCUGAGAGAUGGCUACCACUUCCAAGGAAGGCAGCAGGCGCGAAAAUUGUCCCUUCCCGACCCGGGGAGACAGUGAAGUUGAAUAACGAUCCCGGAUGGUUUUUCUGUCUGGGAAUCGGAUUGAGCGUAAUCUAAACCUCUUAGCCAGGACCACUGGAGGGCAAGUCUGGUGCCAGCAGCCGCGGUAAUUCCAGCUCCAGGAGCGUAUACUAAAUUUGCUGUGGUUAAAAAGCUCGUGGUUGAAGUUGUGUGUUGGUGUUGCGCGGGGGCGCGUUCGUUGGAGCGUAGCUUGCUUCCCGUGCCGCUAGCGCAUCUGGGUUGUGUGUGGCAGCGGUGCCACGCGUAGCCCCCAUUACUGUGAACAAAUCGACGCGUUCCAAGCAGGCAUUCCGCCGUGAACGAUCUAGCAUGGGAUAACGACAUAGGACUUGCGCCUAUUCGUUGGCAGUAGCGCUCAAGUAAUGAUGGAUAGGGACAGCUCGGGGGUGCCAGUACUGCACGGCCAGCGGUGAAAUGCGGUGAUUCGUGCAUGACUAACGAUUGCGAAAGCAUUCACCAAGGAUGUCUUCUUUAAUCAAGAACGAAAGUUGGGGGAUCGAAGAGGAUCAGAUACCCUCGUAGUCUCAACCAUAAACUGUGCCGACUGGGGAUUGGAUUGUCAGUUGUCGUUGCGCGCGUGUCGCAGCGCGCGCAGCUCCCGACCGAUUCAGCACCCUGCGAGAAAUCAAAGUGUUUGGGUUCCGGGGGGAGUAUGGUCGCAAGGCUGAAACUUAAAGGAAUUGACGGAAGGGCACCACCAGGAGUGGAGCCUGCGGCUUAAUUUGACCCAACACGGGGAAACUUACCCGGUCCAGACAAAACGAGGAUUGACAGAUUGCAGAGCUUUCAAGAUUUUUUGGAUGGUGGUGCAUGGCCGUUCUUAGUUGGUGGAGUGAUUUGUCUGGUUAAUUCCGUUAACGAACGAGACCUUGAGUGGGUUGAUGUGAUGUGCGUGGGU
rnacentral:rRNA from 1 species